rnacentral:lncRNA from 1 species
UUGAGGUGGGUUUUUAAUUUUGAGUUCAGUGUUAAAUAGUCAGUGCUGAUAUCGCUGAUUUCAGUAUAAUCUAUGAGCUUACUGUACUAUAUGUCUUUGCAGAAUAUAGUCAUGUUUUUGUACUGAUUCAUGCUUUGAUACAAAAAGCUAGCUUCUAAGACCUCUAUCAGGAAUCGUUCUACCAAGCCUUUAGUUAUAUAUUUAAAUUGCCCCCUAAAAGAGUUCUGAUACUCUUGGUUUCUCCAGACAGCUUCUUCAGGCCCACAGGUUAGAGAUAAGAGCCAUAGAGACGCAGCAUAAGAAGAUACUAGAAGAGGAGAAGAUCUGUGCAGAAGAGCGAUAUGCUGUACUGGAAAAAGACUAUGAUUUCCUGAAAAGUUCAUUUCACACCUACAAGGAAAGCAUCUCUGAGGAAAUGCAGGAGAAAUGGUUCCAAAAGGAGAAUCAGUGGAAAUUGAAGCAUGAAAAAGAACAACAAAAACAAUUAAAAAAAGAACAGGAGUUGCAGGAGCAGUUUCAGAAGGAGAUGGACCAGAUGAGAAAGUCGUUUGAGAUUCAGAUCGCAGCCAUCGACAGGAGCCACCAGGCACUGAAAUCACAGCUGUCAGACAAGGAGGCUACAAUUAGCAUGCUGACUACGACUCUUAAAUCCUCCCAGGCAGAGCUGGACCUCACAAAAGAAAAGCUGGCAGCCUUGGUGAGGCUGUUCAGUCAGAGAGUGUUGACGAUGGACGAGAAACAGGGAGAUCACCGCCUUGCACUCAUCACUGAGAUUGUAGGCAACAAGUUGCAGCACAAGAUAGAAUCCCCACACCAUGAAACUGCAGAGGAACCAACUGACGCUGACAUGGAUGCUGCAUCGGGAUAA